rnacentral:rRNA from 1 species
GUAGGGAAUAUUGGGCAAUGGAUGCAAGUCUGACCCAGCCAUGCCGCGUGGAGGAAGAAGGUCCUCUGGAUUGUAAACUCCUUUUUUGGGGGAAGAAUAGUUCUCUUGCGAGGGAAUGUGACGGUACCCUAAGAAUAAGCCACGGCUAACUACGUGCCAGCAGCCGCGGUAAUACGUAGGUGGCAAGCGUUGUCCGGAUUUAUUGGGUUUAAAGGGUGCGUAGGUGGUUUGAUAAGUCAGUGGUGAAAGCUGGUUGCUCAACAAUCAAGUUGCCAUUGAUACUGUCGGACUUGAGAGAAGUGGAGGUUCAUGGAAUGGAUGGUGUAGCGGUGAAAUGCAUAGAUAUCAUCCAGAACGUCGAUUGCGAAGGCAGUGGGCUGUACUUUAUCUGACACUGAGGCACGAAAGUGUGGGGAUCAAACAGGAUUAGAAACCCCGGUAGUCC